rnacentral:lncRNA from 1 species
GAAGUGGAAAAAAAUUUCUGUAUUUUAAGAUAAAGUAAAAAUGAAGAUGGAAGCAAAGUUUAAAAAAUUUGCUGUAGUUGAAUUUCUUGAUGAAAAAAAAAAAAAGCAUGUGUGCCAUGGACGUUAUCUGUUUGUCAUGGCUGAUCAAUGAAAGUUUAGUGUGUUGGCCAAAUCACUUGCGAUCAUUUCGCCUUUUAACUGCCAUACGCGAAGUAACACUUACUCCUGUAAGUAACUGGAAACAGCUAAAAAUAAGAGUUCUUUAUUAUUUUGUUAUGAAACUGCUGUAGAACAAAUGGAAAUGUUAGAGUUCACAUCAAGCGUUGAAACAGCUGCUGAUGCGAUGAAAAAUUG